rnacentral:rRNA from 1 species
GUUGACCUCGGAUCAGGUAGGGAUACCCGCUGAACUUAAGCAUAUCAAUAAGCGGGAGG